AUGUCGCCCCGUAAACUCCGGUUCCUGCGCGCAGGCCGCACCCACCUGACAACUUGCUCGCUACGUUUCGCUAGCC
rnacentral:sRNA from 1 species